ensembl:snRNA U6 U6 spliceosomal RNA
GUGCUCCAUUCAGCAGCGUAUACACUAAAAUUGGAACAAUACAGAAAAGAUUAGCACACACCCCUGCACAAGGAUGACACGCAAAAUCGUGAAGCCUUCAUAUAUUAA